UACGUAGGGUGCGAGCGUUGUCCGGAAUCAUUGGGCGUAAAGCGCGCGUAGGUGGCUUCGUAAGUCCGUUGUGAAAGUCAAAGGCUCAACCUUUGAAUGCCGAUGGAUACUGCGAAGCUAGAGUACGGAAGAGGCGAGUGGAAUUCCUGGUGUAGCGGUGAAAUGCGCAGAUAUCAGGAGGAACACCGAUGGCGAAGGCAGCUCGCUGGGACGGUACUGACGCUGAGGCGCGAAAGCGUGGGGAGCAAACAGG
rnacentral:rRNA from 1 species